rnacentral:rRNA from 1 species
UACGUAGGGGGCUAGCGUUGUCCGGAAUCAUUGGGCGUAAAGCGCACGUAGUCGGCUUUGCAAGUCGGGUGUGAAAUCCCCGGGCUCAACCUGGGAACUGCAUCCGAGACUGCAUUGCUAGAGUAUGGGAGAGGGAAGCGGAAUUUCUGGUGUAGCAGUGAAAUGCGUAGAUAUCAGAAGGAACAUCAGUGGCGAAGGCGGCUUCCUGGACCAACACUGACACUGAGGAGCGAAAGCCAGGGGAGCAAACGGG